rnacentral:rRNA from 1 species
AUUGAACGCUGGCGGCAUGCCUUACACAUGCAAGUCGAACGGCAGCGGACCUUCGGGUGCCGGCGAGUGGCGAACGGGUGAGUAAUAUAUCGGAACGUACCUUUCAGUGGGGGAGUAACGUAGCGAAAGUUACGCUAAUACCGCAUAUUCUGUGAGCAGGAAAGCAGGGGAGUCGCAAGACCUUGCGCUGAUUGAGCGGCCGAUAUCAGAUUAGCUAGUUGGUGAGGUAAAGGCUCACCAAGGCGACGAUCUGUAGCGGGUCUGAGAGGAUGAUCCGCCACACUGGGACUGAGACACGGCCCAGACUCCUACGGGAGGCAGCAGUAAGGAAUAUUGGUCAAUGGACGAAAGUACUGAACCAG